UGGGGAAUAUUGCGCAAUGGGCGAAAGCCUGACGCAGCGACGCCGCGUGGAGGAUGAAGGUCUUCGGAUUGUAAACUUCUGUUAAGUGGGAAAAAAGUUCUAUUCCUAAUACGAAUAGGAGAUGAUGGUACCACUAGAGAAAGCACCGGCUAAACUCGUGCCAGCAGCCGCGGUAAUACGAGUGGUGCAAGCGUUAUUCGGAAUCAUUGGGCGUAAAGGGUGCGUAGACGGCAUAUUAAGUCUGUUGUUAAAUCCCUCGGCUUAACCGAGGAUAUGCGGCGGAUACUGAUGUGCUAGAGGAUGGAAGAGAGAAGUGGAAUUCUCGGAGUAGCGGUAAAAUGCGUAGAUCUCGAGAGGAACACCGAUGGCGAAGGCAGCUUCUUGGUCCAUUCCUGACGUUGAGGCACGAAAGCGUGGGGAGCAAACAGGAUUAGAUACCCGCGUAGUCC
rnacentral:rRNA from 1 species